rnacentral:misc_RNA from 1 species
AAAAAAAAUGCUUCGAUUCUGUUCUUAUUCAUCUCAUUAACUCGUAUAGUCCAAUAAGGCCAUUCCUUUACAACAAUAAAGCAAGUGUGACCUUGAUAAUUCUCAGCAACCUGUAUGUUGAACCAUAGCCUUCAGAAGAGUUAUUUUAGCCCUGAAUCCAGGAAUUAACUCCACUUCUGUGAUGAUCAAAGUAAUAGUACGCAGAAAUUUAAGAUCUUAAGUCAUAUUAUAAUAGGGUUUAUCUUUUAAUUUCAAACUUUCUUAACUAAUUCACUACUCAAGUAACUGAUUGUAA